GCGUAAGCGCGCGUAGGCGGCUAAUUAAGUCAAAUGUGAAAUCCCCGAGCUUAACUUGGGAAUUGCAUUCGAUACUGGUUAGCUAGAGUGUGGGAGAGGAUGGUAGAAUUCCAGGUGUAGCGGUGAAAUGCGUAGAGAUCUGGAGGAAUACCGAUGGCGAAGGCAGCCAUCUGGCCUAACACUGACGCUGAGGUGCGAAAGCAUGGGGAGCAAACAGGAUUAGAUACCCUGGUAGUCCAUGCCGUAAACGAUGUCUACUAGCCGUUGGGGCCUUUGAGGCUUUAGUGGCGCAGCUAACGCGAUAAGUAGACCGCCUGGGGAGUACGGUCGCAAGACUAAAACUCAAAUGAAUUGACGGGGGCCCGCACAAGCGGUGGAGCAUGUGGUUUAAUUCGAUGCAACGCGAAGAACCUUACCUGGCCUUGACAUAGUAAGAACUUUCCAGAGAUGGAUUGGUGCCUUCGGGAACUUACAUACAGGUGCUGCAUGGCUGUCGUCAGCUCGUGUCGUGAGAUGUUGGGUUAAGUCCCGCAACGAGCGCAACCCUUUUCCUUAUUUGCCAGCGAGUAAUGUCGGGAACUUUAAGGAUACUGCCAGUGACAAACUGGAGG
rnacentral:rRNA from 1 species